GUCGAGCGAACGGACGAGAAGCUUGCUUCUCUGAUGUUAGCGGCGGACGGGUGAGUAACACGUGGAUAACCUACCUAUAAGACUGGGAUAACUUCGGGAAACCGGAGCUAAUACCGGAUAAUAUUUUGAACCGCAUGGUUCAAAAGUGAAAGACGGUCUUGCUGUCACUUAUAGAUGGAUCCGCGCUGCAUUAGCUAGUUGGUAAGGUAACGGCUUACCAAGGCAACGAUGCAUAGCCGACCUGAGAGGGUGAUCGGCCACACUGGAACUGAGACACGGUCCAGACUCCUACGGGAGGCAGCAGUAGGGAAUCUUCCGCAAUGGGCGAAAGCCUGACGGAGCAACGCCGCGUGAGUGAUGAAGGUCUUCGGAUCGUAAAACUCUGUUAUUAGGGAAGAACAUAUGUGUAAGUAACUGUGCACAUCUUGACGGUACCUAAUCAGAAAGCCACGGCUAACUACGUGCCAGCAGCCGCGGUAAUACGUAGGUGGCAAGCGUUAUCCGGAAUUAUUGGGCGUAAAGCGCGCGUAGGCGGUUUUUUUAAGUCUGAUGUGAAAGCCCACGGCUCAACCGUGGAGGGUCAUUGGAAACUGGAAAACUUGAGUGCAGAAGAGGAAAGUGGAAUUCCAUGUGUAGCGGUGAAAUGCGCAGAGAUAUGGAGGAACACCAGUGGCGAA
rnacentral:rRNA from 1 species